GAUGAAGAACGUAGCGAAAUGCGAUAAGUAAUGUGAAUUGCAGAAUUCAGUGAAUCAUCGAAUCUUUGAACGCACAUUGCGCCCGCCAGUAUUCUGGCGGGCAUGCCUGUCUGAGCGUCAUUUCAACCCUCAUGCCCCUAGGGCGUGGUGUCGGGGAUCGGCCAAAGCCCGCGAGGGACGGCCGGCCCCUAAAUCUAGUGGCGGACCCGUCGUGGCCUCCUCUGCGAAGUAGUGAUAUUCCGCAUCGGAGAGCGAUGAGCCCCUGCCGUUAAACCCCCAACUUUCCAAGGUUGACCUCAGAUCAGGUAGGAAUACCCGCUGAACUUAAGCAUAUCAAUAAGCGGAGGA
rnacentral:misc_RNA from 1 species